UACAGAGGGGGCAAGCGUUGUUCGGAAUUACUGGGCGUAAAGGGCGCGUAGGCGGCCUGCUAAGUCGGACGUGAAAUCCCUGGGCUCAACCCAGGAACUGCGUCCGAUACUGGUUGGCUUGAAUCCGGGAGAGGGAUGUGGAAUUCCAGGUGUAGCGGUGAAAUGCGUAGAUAUCCGGAGGAACACCGGUGGCGAAGGCGGCUUCCUGGACCGACACUGACGCUGAGGCGCGAAAGCUAGGGGAGCAAACGGG
rnacentral:rRNA from 1 species